GGGUGACGAGUGGCGGACGGGUGAGUAAUGUCUGGGAAACUGCCCGAUGGAGGGGGAUAACUACUGGAAACGGUAGCUAAUACCGCAUAACGUCGCAAGACCAAAGAGGGGGACCUUCGGGCCUCUUGCCAUCGGAUGUGCCCAGAUGGGAUUAGCUAGUAGGUGGGGUAACGGCUCACCUAGGCGACGAUCCCUAGCUGGUCUGAGAGGAUGACCAGCCACACUGGAACUGAGACACGGUCCAGACUCCUACGGGAGGCAGCAGUGGGGA
rnacentral:rRNA from 1 species